UACGUAGGGUGCAAGCGUUGUCCGGAAUUAUUGGGCGUAAAGAGCGUGUAGGCGGCCCGGUUAGUCCGCUGUGAAAGUCCAGGGCUCAACCCUGGAAUGCCGGUGGAUACUGUCGGGCUAGAGUCCGGAAGGGGCGAGUGGAAUUCCUGGUGUAGCGGUGAAAUGCGCAGAUAUCAGGAGGAACACCAAUGGCGAAGGCAGCUCGCUGGGACGUGACUGACGCUGAGACGCGAAAGCGUGGGGAGCAAACAGG
rnacentral:rRNA from 1 species